AGCUUGGCGCUCUGGCUGUGACGAUGUGCGUUCCUGCUCCUCUCACUUGCCUACCGCCUGCGGGCCCUGCCCACUGGGCCACCUACUUCAUCUUCGCAGGCGUGAGAACGCCGUUCCCCCUGCUUUCCCCACAUUCUUGGCCUUUCUGGCUCGUGACAAAGCUCUUUAAGGAGCGUGAGCUCACUGGUUCCGGAUUUUGGUCUCCCUACUUUGGCAGGCUGGACCAGACUUGGCAUGGGAAAGAAAGGGACUUCCUGACACCUAAUGAAACUGCAGGAGUCCCAGGGCUGGGCCUGGGUCCUGGGAAACACUCACCUGGAAGUUAGGAAAAAGAUAACACGGAGGAAGAUGGCUGCGCCUCUAGAAACUCUCAUCGAUGGAGAAGGCACUGGAUUCUGCGUAACAAAGUUUAACCUGUAAACAUAAGCGCUGCCCCACACCUUUCUUUUGUCUUUAGCUGCAGAUGAGGUCUCAGCCAAAAGCUCAGAAGAGCAGAGGGAAAAUUAUUUUUCCUCCCCUACAGUUCCUGGUACACCCCACUUGCUCUGGAGCCUGCAGACAGCAUCCUGGAAAAAUGGGCCAAAGCCGGCAGAGGGUAAAAAUUCUUACCAAAGUCAGCUUUCCCGGAUCUCUGCCUGCAGUGCCCGGUUGAGAGAGGAAG
rnacentral:lncRNA from 1 species